CUGCUGUCUGCACUGACUGUUUCUGCAGUUCUAGUCUUUGUGCCUCCUUAUCCUCCGGUGCGGCCGGUCGUACAUUUAAUGGUCUUCCUUCCGUACGCCGUCUCCACGCUGGUGAUGCUGUCGAUUGAGAGCAGACUGAAUGCAGGAUGUCCUCUGGUUGUCUCCAUGGAGACGCCCCUGCUUGAUGAAGAAACUCAGGAAUUCGGCGAAGACUAUGAUGACAUCGCUGCUGAUGUCACCACCGAGCAUGAGUUCUGAUCUACAGCGAGCGACGGCGCUGCAUUCAGACUGGA